rnacentral:rRNA from 1 species
AUUGAACGCUGGCGGAAUGCUUUACACAUGCAAGUCGAACGGUAGAGGGGGCAACCCCUUGAGAGUGGCGAACGGGUGAGUAAUAUAUCGGAACGUGCCCAGUCGUGGGGAUAACGUAGCGAAAGUUACGCUAAUACCGCAUACGAUCUAAGGAUGAAAGCGGGGGAUCGCAAGACCUCGCGCGAUUGGAGCGGCCGAUAUCAGAUUAGGUAGUUGGUGGGGUAAAGGCUCACCAAGCCAACGAUCUGUAGCUGGUCUGAGAGGACGACCAGCCACACUGGAACUGAGACACGGUCCAGACUCCUACGGGAGGCAGCAGUGGGGAAUUUGGACAAUGGACGCAAGUCUGAUCCAGCAAUGCCGCGUGCAGGAUGAAGGCC